CCACCAUCAGUCUGGACCCCGAAGGCCCCAGAAACUCUGUUCUCUCCGGCCCGCUGCCGAUCUUCCGCCUCCGCCAGCCAGAGGCACCAUGAAAUUGGAAUUCACCGAGAAAAACUACAACAGCUUUGUGCUCCAGAGCCUGAACAGACAGAGGAAACGAAGAGAGUACUGGGACAUGGCCCUCACCGUGGACCACCACGUCUUCUUUGCACAUCGCAACGUGCUGGCUGCUGUCUCUCCGCUGGUGAAGAGCCUCGUGCCCAGCAACGACGUGACGAGCACCGAUGAGCUCUUCAUCUCCAUUGAGCCCAGCUACCUGAGCCCGGCCGCGGUGGAGCAGCUCCUGGACUACUUCUACAGCGGCAAGGUGGUGAUCUCGGAGCAGAACGUGGAGGAGCUGCUGCGGGGCGCCCAGUACUUCAACACACCGCACCUCCGAGUCCACUGCAACGACUUCCUCAUUAAGUCCAUCCGCCGGGCCAACUGCUUGCGCUACCUCUUCCUGGCUGAGCUGUUUGAGCUCAAAGAGGUGUCGGACCUGGCCUACUCCGGCAUCCGGGACAACUUCCACUACUGGGCCAGUGCCGAGGGCUCCCCGCACUUCAUGCACUGCCCGCCGGUCAUCUUCGGCCGCCUGCUGCGCGAUGAGAACCUCCACGUGCUCAACGAGGACCAGGCGCUCAGCGCGCUCAUCAGCUGGGUGCACUUCCGGAAGGAGGAGCGGGAGAAGUACUUCAAGAAGUUCUUCAACUACAUCAGUCUCAACGCUGUCACCAACAAGACGCUGACGUUGGCCAGGAACAAGCUCGUGGGCAUGGAGGGCAGCUCGUGCCACGUCAUGCUGAUCGAGAGCGUCCUGGUGGACCGCAAGCAAGAGCGGCCCUGCAGCCUGCUGGCCUACCAGCGCAAAGGGUCCCUGCUCGACUCGGUGGUCAUCCUCGGGGGCCAGAAGGCCCAGGGCAAGUUCAACGACGGCAUGUUUGCCUACAUCAUCCAGGAGAACCUGUGGUUGAAGCUCUCCGAGAUGCCCUACCGGGCAGCGGCGCUCAGCGCCACCUCUGCCGGCCGCUACAUCUACGUCUCCGGCGGCACCACGGAGCAGAUCUCAGGGCUGAAGACGGCCUGGCGGUAUGACAUGGAUGACAACUCCUGGACCAACUUGCCCGACCUGCCCAUCGGGCUGGUCUUCCACACCAUGGCGACCUGCGGGGGCAAGGUGUACUCGGUGGGCGGCAGCAUCGCCCCAAGGCGCUACGUCUCUAACAUCUAUCGCUACGACGAGCACAAGGAGGCCUGGUGCCUGGCAGGGAAGAUGAGCAUCCCCAUGGAUGGCACGGCUGUGAUCACCAAGGGUGACCGGAGCCUGUAUAUCGUCACUGGGCGCUGCUUGGUGAAAGGCUACAUCUCCAGGGUCGGGGUAGUCGACUGCUUCGACACCAGCACCGGGGAGGUGGUCCAGUGUAUCACCUUCCCCAUUGAGUUCAACCACCGGCCCUUGCUCUCCUUCCAGCAGGACAACAUCCUCUGCGUGCACAGCCACCGGCAGAGCGUGGAAAUCAACCUGCAGAAGAUAAAGGCCAACAAGACCACCACCUCGGUGCCCCUCUUGCCCAACGACUGUCCCCUGGAUGUGUCCCAUGCCAUAUGCUCCAUUGGAGACGACAAGGUGUUUGUAUGUGGAGGCGUCACCACGGCCAGCAAUGUUCAGACCAAGGACUACACCAUCAAUCCAAAUGCCUACCUGCUGGACCAAAAGACCGGCGAGUGGCAGACCCUGGCCUCUCCCCCGGAGGCGCUGGACUGUCCCGCCUGCUGUCUAGCCAAGCUACCCUGCAAGAUUCUUCAAAGGAUGUAAACAACUUUUGAAGUACCAGACUAACCACUGUGUGGUGAACAGGGACCAGAUCCCAAUUACUCACUCUUGGGAAUGCCAAACUUUGAGCUGUGAGCAGCUUAUGAGGAGAGAGGCUCAGGAGGCAGAGCACUGAGGCCUCUUGACAAAAGUCAUGUGAAAGACUUUGAAAGUGGGUUUCCCUAUCCCUCUUCCCCAAACUGUCAAUGGCUGAAUUUCUGGAUAACUCAGGAUCACAAGUUUUAGUCCCACAUGGGUAACUUAG